UACGUAGGGGGCAAGCGUUGUCCGGAAUCAUUGGGCGUAAAGAGCGCGUAGCGGUCCGGUAAGUCCGCUCUGAAAGCCCGGGGCUCAACCCCGGGAGGCGGGCGGAUACUGUCGGGCUAGAGUCCGGAAGAGGCGAGUGGAAUUCCUGGGUGUAGCGGUGAAAUGCGCAGAUAUCAGGAGGAACACCGAUGGCGAAGGCAGCUCGCUGGGACGGUACUGACGCUGAGGCGCGAAAGCAUGGGGAGCAAACAGG
rnacentral:rRNA from 1 species